GACGAACCGUGCAAACGUUGUUCGGAAUCACUGGGCUUAAAGGGCGCGUAGGCGGGUUCCCAAGUCGGUGGUGAAAUCUUUCAGCUCAACUGGAAAAGUGCCGCCGAUACUGGGAGUCUUGAGGGAGGUAGGGGUCGAGGGAACUGGUGGUGGAGCGGUGAAAUGCGUAGAUAUCACUAGGAACGCCGGUGGCGAAAGCGCUCGACUGGACCUCUUCUGACGCUGAGGCGCGAAAGCCAGGGGAGCAAACGGG
rnacentral:rRNA from 1 species